UUUUUUUCUCUCAAUAUUGAUAUUGUUACGACAGGAGCAUAUUCGAGGUAGUGACGACUCCACCUUCUCCUAGGACAUACCCUAGAAGAUAGUGGAUCGUCUGCCUAACUCUUGUCAGGCUCACUCACUUACAUUAACUUCAAAGAUAACAUUUUGAUAAACCAGAUCCAAACGCUCAAAUUUUUUACGAUACCUAAUUCGAUACAAAAGUUUCAACCUUAAUAAGAUACUAAAAGAUGUACAAUCACAAAAGUCUUCUUGCUAUCUACCUAAAUCUCUCGAUCGAUCCCUGACCACCAAUCUCCUGUAAGGAAAACAAAACUAAAAGAGUGAGCUUACGCCCGUGAGGUUUCCAUGCAAGCCACAAUCAAUAAGCACUUAAAUCAGUACAAUUAAGCAAGUAGUGCACAUUUCACUGUACAAUUACUUUUAUUAAGCAAUUAAGGAAACACUUCACUUCACUGAACAAUCACUUUUAAAAGGAUACGGUGCUCGCAUUAGAGCCACUCAAUGCACUACACACUCCACCGAACUCCUCCUUAUAACCUCCAAAACAAUAAACACUUCCCUCACUUAGAUGGCCAUAUCAAUAUCAGUAAUUUGCUACUCCAUGGUAAUACUCGAGCAUACCGAAACACUUACCCAAAACUACCGUGCUACCCGACCAAGCCCUUUGCUGGCUCGAAUAGUCCGUUGAACAGAGGGUUUUGGAGCCCAGUUCAGCCGAUGUGAUAAAGUACAUACACGGCUUACAGUCAUGCACACUUACAAUAUCACUUGAUCAAUUAUCAACCUUCAAGCUCAACCAAGUCCAGUGCGAUAAAGUACACCCUCAACUUAGAAGGCGAGGGACAAUUGAAAACACUUCACAAUGAAUCACUUAGCAAUACUUCAUAAUAAGCACAUUUUUCAUGUAAUUGCACUUAGGUACACAUAAGCAGUUUAACACAUAAUUCGGAAAACACUCACCAUUUAUACAAAUAAUUUACUCUCGAGCCUCGGGUUUGUUUCCUAACUCACAGCUAUUUCCUGGGGCAAGUUAAUAAUUUCAAGGUAAAUAUAUAAUCUGUAAAUGAUCAUUUAUCAUUCUUACUUUAUUAUUUAAACUAUUAAAAUCAAGUUUGAUCUUGAAAUACAAAUAUAUUCUUCAUUUACUAUUUAUCCUACAUUUUAUUUUGAAACUUAUUAAUUUUAUCAUUUAAACCAAGAAUUAUACAUAUGUUCUAAGGUUAUAAUCUUAUAGGUAUUUAAAUUAACUGUAACCUAUUUUCCACUCAAAAUCCUAAGAUGCAAGCUUAGAAACACUCCAUUGGUUCUCCUUUUAACUAGCCAAGGUCUAAGUUAUGUGCACUUUAAAUCUUAUUCCACUACACCAGCCUUUCAAGUUUUAUAGUCUUUUAAAUUACUAAGAAAACCAAUUUUAAGCGAUUAGGGGCCAUUUCAUGUAUACAGCCAUAACAAAUUACUUUAGAGUUUCUAAAAUAUCAAAUAAGUUUUAACUCAUUGCCAUACAACCUAUCUACAUAAAUUCAGCAAUAAUACUUCAAGUUUUCAUCCAAUAACUUCAUUUUUCACUUGAUUAAACAACCAACUACUUAACUUACAUUUAAUCUAACAUGAAUUAGGAUAAGAAACAUUUAAUUGUAACCAAUGUUUUUUGCAACUAUGCACACAAAUCAGUCUUAACUAUCACAGCUUUUAAGCAAUCCCUUAGCUAUGUAUAUAUUGGUCCAAUGUUUGCCGUUUCACUCAAGUUCCUAAGCUUAUAAAACGAAUCACCAAAAUCUAGCAACCUUCCUUACGUUUGUCUUCAAGGUUAUUAAGUUUGGUAGCUUAAAACAAGAUUAACGUACAUUUACACCAAAUUUUAAGAUUGUAUAAAACACUUGAGCUAAGAACUCAUUUCCAAUCUAAUAUGCAAGGAUUAAGACAAGUGAACGUUUCAUUUCUUCCGUCUAGGCUAAAACAGAUUCUAGUUUGCAUUUUAUUCCUAUUUGUUCCACUUCACUAGCCCUUCAAGUUUUAAGUCCUUUAAAGUAUCCAAAACGUGGUCAAGAUGCUACAAACUGAUAUAUAUAUGUGUAUAUGUAUAGUUACAACAAACUACCUUAGAAUCUUUCAAAAACUUCAAAGGAAGUUCAAUCCUUCACUGUUUCAGCCCUCAAGCAAAAUUUCCAGCAAUAUCAAUUCAAAAUGUUCAAUAAAGCUCCACGGUUUACUUAUUUAAAACACUAGGCACAUAGCGCAUAAUCCGUCCAACCCAAACUAGAACAAAUAACAUACAAUUCCAGAAAAUAAUCCCACCAAAAGCCUCAACCAAUUCUGCCAGCAACAAAUCACAAUUUCCAGCAAUAUAGCAGUUUAACUUAUGAUGCUUUCUCCAUAAUUUUCUUCAGUUUUAACCUCAACUCAACAUGCAAAAAGGGAUUAGCAAGCUACAAGAUAAUCCUAAACAUCAAGUAUGAAAAUCUCAGCUAAAAAAUUCGAAGGAAAAUUGACCAGAUGCUCAACCCCUUCUCUCGGCCAUGCUGGAAAAUUUUUGACAGCUACCCAGCUCUUAAAAUACAGAUUUCUUCAGUUUUCUUUCAUUAAGUUCAACAUGCAAGGGUUUGUUAUUAAGCUACAGAGCACCUUCAGCAGAGAUCUAACGUUUAUAGCCAAGGAAAAACGAAAAGCAACAUUGGUUCAGUUGCUAAUCCCCCCCCCCCUCAGCCAUGUUUUCAGAUUUUUCACAGCAGUCAGCCAAAUACACAUUUUUCUUAAAUAAUCUCUUCAAUUUAUGUUCAAAUUUUUCAUGCAUGUUCAGACCAAGCCAAUAUAUGAUAUAGAAUACAGUUUGACAUAGAGUUCCAAGGCCAAAAUUCAUAAGAAUAGCUGGAAACCUCACCUUUUCCUUCUCUCGGCUAACCUGUAACAAUUUCCAGCAGUUCUUGCUACGGUCUCAACCAAAAGAUUCUAACUUUCCUCUAGUUUCUUCAACUAACUUACCUUAACGAAUUAAGCUAACGUUUACAUGCAUUACCCAACAUAGUUUUCCAUUUUAUAGUAAUCACAGGCUGCAAAUCAAAUAUGCAAACUCUCGGUUCCUCAACUUCAGUCCAGCUCUCUUUUUUUUUUUCUUUAUUAGAAUUCCCUCCAGCUAAAUCUUAUUAUUCCUGGCUAAAAACAACAUGCAGCCCCUACUCUCAGUUAUACCAGAUAAGUAGCACAAGAUGGUUGAAGUUUCUUACCUUUUCCUCCUAAAGCUCGACAAUCACAGACUACUACUCCCUUCUACCUCAGUUUCGGUUCCUCUAGCUCUUACUCCAACUAUUUCCCUCGCAGUUGCAGUUGAUAUCUGUAGUUGCAAGCUGGUUUCUCCUCUUCCACUUACUCAGCUCUUGGUUUAAGAUGAUGAAAGGAUGAAGAAAGGAUAAGGCCUGCGGUCGGUUCUCAUUCCUCCUCCCAGCGAUCACUCCAGACUCUCUCUCCUCUCGUCACUCAGUCAGUUAUGGCUGGAAGGAACAAGAAUGGCUCCUUCACUCUCACUCUCUCGCACCGCUUCAAAAAUGCAGAUGAGAAGGAAAUUUCAGUCGCUCUCACUUCUCUUCUUUUGUUCCUCACGUCGAUAAUAACUAAGUGACUGAUCUCUAAAGCUUCAUCAGUCG
rnacentral:lncRNA from 1 species